GUAUGUAGAUGGGAGUAACACAGUGAGCCUAGGCUAUAAAAUGCUAAGUUUCCCUACAAUAAAUCGCCAUAUUUGCCAUCCAUCACAUUGAUGCUGUGGAAUAUGGUCCGCGCGGCUGGGAUAACCGCCUGUGCUGGAGCAGGUCAGGGUGCUUAUCUUGCUUUAAACCCAACAUCUGGUGCACGAAAUCCGGGAGAAAAAAAAAGCGGGAAGAAGCGUGAGAAGAAAUUAAAAAAGCAAGGAUACCCUGAUUCAGUGGACAGCGGCCAAGAGAGCUGGACUAUUCUUGGCAUGGAAAUCCUGGGCCCAGAAGGAUGAUGGAAUCAUCAAAAAGUUAUUUUCCUAGAGACAUGAAGACAGCUACAACUGAAACAACUGUGAACACCUGCUUGUGGACAGAAAUGAAUACAGUCUGUGACACCCUGGACUUUAUUAAGAGUUCUAUUGAGUUGUUGCAAUUCCUGCAGUUUUGUUUGCUAUAACUUUCUUAUUUUUCAGUGUUCCCAGAAUUUUAAUAAGAUGUACCAUUGGUAAGGAUCAACUGCCAUUGAAGAAGCUUCAAAUUAAACCAACUGCUGAAUGAUUUAAUUAGUCUGGUACCUAAGGUUUUUAAUUAUUUGCUUUGUACAAAUGCAUUUUAACAGUUUACUGUGCUGUAAGCAUCUCAUAGCUGUUGCUAUUGAAAACCUUGUUUUAAAAAUAAGUUAAGAGGCAUCUUUCUAGUUUAAAGUCUAAGGCCCUGGCCAAGCCUUGACUUUAUCUGGACGGAAUGUUUGCCAACAGAUCCAGAUGUUUUUGUACCAAAUCAGUAUUUGAGUCGCUUUUUAACUCAACAAUUUGACCCUAUUAAUAUGACAGCUGGAUCAAUUUUAAAGUGAGCUUGGAAAAUCAUUUCCGGAAAUGAUUGUCCAAUCCUUCACUGAUAAUUUUUGGUUUUGUUUGUUUAUUAACUAUGAGAUGCUGGUGCAGUGUUUUAAUAAUUAACAGUACUUUUAUAUUAAUUGAUUUUUAACUGUUAUAAGUUUUUACUAAUUAUGUAUAAAGUUUUGUGUUAAUGUUGAACAGAAAUACAUCUCAUUUUUAUUUUUUUAAGGAAAACGGGGGAAAUUGAUACCCUAAAAGCAAUUUGAUUAGUGUAAUUCAUUAACUUCAAGGAGAGAAGUGCCUGUGUUUUGUUGGCAGGUUCAGAAGGGUCACCUGUCCAUCUGACCAGACUGUCUGCCUCUAAACACAUGAGAUCCAGUGAGCAGAGAGGUCAUCACACAGCCUUGGUACUCCAGACAUGGAUCAGAAGUGGACCUGUCAGGACACAGUUGUGUCCAAACACUAUACAGACAGUUGCCAACAGAAAUUUUAUGUUGUUAUUAUGAUGUUGUGUCUCUAUCAAUUUCUCAGUUAUCCUUUGUUUUAAGAUUUAGAAGGGUUUGAAGAACAACUUGAACAUCAAAGCCCUCAGUCACCAAUCAGCUGCCAGCUGACAUCACGGGAGCAGUGAACAUUCCAGGACUGAAUCAUGUUGGAGAAAUUCUGUAGAAGAUUUGGGAAGUGUAGUGUAUAUACAAAUCAAAUUGUAAUUGUGUGUUUAUUCUUUUAGCAAAUUGCUUUCACGUUUAGAUUACAUAUAUACCAGAGCACGUGUGUUAAAAGUAGUUAAAUAAUAGUUUAAGGUAAAAUGUUUAGUCUGUGUAAUAAUUGUUAUGUUAGUAUAAAAUAUAAGUAUUUUUCUUUUAAGAGGUAGUAUAAGCAUCUUUAAAAGUUCAUUCAAUGUUAAAGUUUUAGCUGUGAGUUUGCAAGUAUGGUGUCAUUUACAUGGUAAGCUGCUUAUAGUAAUUGUGUUGUUUAUAGUUAUAACACCUGAAGCGGUGAGCCCCAACCUUGUGGUAGAAGCUGAAAAACCCAUGAUCUAAUAGUCUAGCCCUUGCAUUUAUACCCAAGCUUUAACUCCUCUGCUGACUUUUGUGUAUUAGCUGUUAUCAUCCCCAGAGUCCUAUACCACCUGGAUGAAGAGCUGAGCCUGCAAGUGGAGAGACUCACCCAACUUCAGAAAAGAGAAGUGGUGACAGAUGUAACCAUAGCAAUGCUGCUUAACCUGAGAGCAACUGGUACUGCCACAGGUGUCUCUGCCAUCGUGACCCAACAACAGAGACUGUUUUAGCUACACAUGACUGUAGAUGAAGAUCUACAGAGAAUUGAGAAAUCCAUAUCCUUUCUAGAAAAAUCAGUCUCCUCACUCUCUGAAGUUGUUUUGCAGAACAAGUAAAGUCUCGAUCUUCUAUUCAUGCAGCAAGGAGGCCUCUGCAUCGCCCUGAAAGAGGAGUGCUGCUUCUAUGCUGACCACACCGGAGUAGUGAGAGACACCAUGGCAGAGCUAUGAGACAGGCUGUCUCAGCAAAAAGCAGAAAGAGAAGCUCAGCAAAACUGGUUCCAAUCCUGGUUCGAUCAAGCUCCGUGGCUGACCACCCUGGUGUUUACCCUGAUUAGACCAGUUGUGAUGACUUUACUUGUGUUAAUUUUUGGACCAUGUAUUCUAAAUAAGCUUGUGUCCUUUGUUAAGAACCGAUUAGAAAAAGUUAACAUUUUGUUUAUAGAAAGGCAACAAAUGCUUUAAAGUAUA